GAUGAACGCUGGCUACAGGCUUAACACAUGCAAGUCGAGGGGAAACGACGGGGAAGCUUGCUUCCCCGGGCGUCGACCGGCGCACGGGUGAGUAACGCGUAUCCAACCUGCCUCUGACUGAGGGAUAACCCGUCGAAAGUCGGCCUAAUACCUCAUGGCAUCGUCUGCGGGCAUCCAACGACGAUUAAAGAUUUCAUCGGUCAGAGAUGGGGAUGCGUCUGAUUAGCUUGUUGGCGGGGUAACGGCCCACCAAGGCGACGAUCAGUAGGGGUUCUGAGAGGAAGGUCCCCCACAUUGGAACUGAGACACGGUCCAAACUCCUACGGGAGGCAGCAGUGAGGAAUAUUGGUCAAUGGGCGAGAGCCUGAACCAGCCAAGUAGCGUGCAGGAUGACGGCCCUGUGGGUUGUAAACUGCUUUUAUGCGGGGAUAAAGUGAGGGACGUGUCCUUCAUUGCAGGUACCGCAUGAAUAAGGACCGGCUAAUUCCGUG
rnacentral:rRNA from 1 species